rnacentral:lncRNA from 1 species
UCUUUCUUCUGUUCUGCUGCAAGCCACUAAUGCUUCUCCAUUUACUUCCUGUCUUCUGAAAAUUCAUUAAAACUUCUUGUAUGUUGAUGAGGGAACCGAGAUCUGAAGAAGAGAAAUGACCUAUCCAAGUUCCCCCAGCUGGGGCCAGUUCUUCUGUUUCACCUAGAAUUGGAUGUUCCAACUCCUGGGGAUUUUUGUGCCACGAAGAAAUGAAGACACCAGAAAUUCAAGCCAAAGGCCUGGGGCUUCCUUGGCUCUUCUCCACUCCACCUCGAAGGGCAUCUGUUUAGGUCCCAAUAAGGAAGGUCUGUCCCUGGAAGAUACUGUCUCACAGCACUUUGUAUGAACGCAAGAGGCAGCAUCUAUGGUGGGAAAACACACAUGAUCAGCCAGUCUCACCAGUUGAUUCUGCCUUAAUCAACCCCAGCCCAUGUCCCCUGUUCACACCUCAGGCAACUUCUGAAGUGGAGAAAUGAUCUGGAGGAAGUCGAAAAAGAUAAGAAUGGCAAGGAUACAAAAUGACCAGUGAUCACUACAUGAUGCUUAUUAAUGGAAGACCAAUUCCUCAGGAAUCAGUUAUAAAGCACAUUUUUUUAUCACGAUGGAUUUUCAUGUCUACUUUCUUAUAUGAGUUUACACAAGUCUGUGAAGAAGGUGACUGUCUUAGCUUUACUGUAGUAUAGAACUGUGCUAUAACAAAAAUACCAGAAACUGGCAGCUUAUAAACAGCAGACAUUUAUUUUUCAUAGUUCUGGAGGCUGGGAAGUUCAAGAUCAAGGCACUAGCAGAUUUGGUGUCUGGUGAAGACCCACUUCUGGUUCAAAUAAGGCAUCUUCUUGCUGUGCCUUCACUUGGCAGAAGAGACAAGGCAGCUCUCUGGGGCCUCUUUUUAUAAAGCCACUAGUCCCAUUUAUGAGGGCUCCACCCUCAUGACCUAAUCACUUCCCAAAGGCCCCACCUCCUAAUAUCAUCACAUUGGUGAUUAUAUAUCACCCUAUGAAUUUCAGGGGCAUACAACAUUCAAAUCACAACAGUAUCCUGAUUCUCAUCUUAAAGAUGAGGAAGCAGAGGUACUGCAAACUUAAAUGAGUCACCCAAGUUCAGGCAUGGGCGAGCCUAGGAUGCAAGGCCAAGUCUAUCUGACACCAGAUACAUGGCUGUAUGGGCUCCACCACAUUUCAUCUUAGUACAUAACCUAUGUGCAUAAGAUGGACUGAACCCCUCUUCCUUCUCCUCUGUCUUCACUCCUAUGCAGAUCUCCAGACCCUUCUACCCAUCCUAAAAUGGUGGAACUCAUGACCCAUCAAGAAAGGAUCCUCAGGGAGUGGCUCCUUGUGGGUCAGCUUCAAAGUGUCAGGAAAAGAAACUCACUCCUGUUUAGGAGCCCCCUAAAUAUGCGGAAUGUGGUACAAAGAGCCCCAGGCUGGUGAUGCCGUUUGGCUGUGUCUCCACCCAAAUCUCAUCUUGAAUUGUAGCUCCCAUGAUUCCCACAUGUUGUGGGAAAGACCCUGUGGGAGAUAUUUCAAUCAUGGGGGUGAUUUCCCCCAUAUUUGUCUCAUGGUAGUGAAUAAGUCUCAUGAUAUCUGAUGGUUUUAUAAGGGGAAACCCCUUUCACUUGGUUCUCGCUCUCUCUUUGCCUGCUGCCAUGUAAGAAGUGCCUUUCGCCUUCAGCCAUGAUUGUGAGUCCUCCCCAACCACGUGGAACUGUGAGUCCAUUAAACCCCUCUCCUUUAUAAAUUACCCAGUCUCGGUAUGUCUUUAUCAGCAGCAUGAAAACAGACUAAUACAGCUGGCCUCCACAGCCCCCCUGUUGCCAGCUCCCGCUGUGAUCUUGGGCAAGUGACUUUCUCCUUCUACUCCCAAUUCCCUCUUGGCUCCUUGCCAGUUCCAAUGCUCCCAGAUUCUAAUCUCCCACUGUCCAAAUCUUGGGAAUGGACACUGAAAUACAUUUCUUGUUACCUACGAAUUACGGUUUGCUUUCAUUCUCCUCUUCAAUCCCAGUCUUCUCUAUUUGCUGCACAGAGUUCAGAAAUGCAUUGUUUCCAAUGCAGAAGCUCACGCCAGUGCACUGGGGCUGCUAAAAACACCCCGAGGGCCCACCCCUCCCAGGGCGAUGCCAGACCAGAGGAUGGAGCCCUGGGUCUCUUCACUUUGCGCCACAUUAUCACAGAAAGGUGGAUUAGAAGUUAUCUCCGCUCUGCUUUCUCUCAGAGCUCCUUGGCAACACAGCCACCUCGAUAUAAAUAUACACCAGCAACGUGCGCAACCUCAUACUCCACGGUGAGGCCUCCAGAGGCCCCAGGGCAGAUACCGCCGGGGAGCAAGGACAUCAGGAGAUCCCCAGGACACAAAGGAGUGCCAGCCUCAACGCUUCAAGGUCAAAUAUGGCACCCAUCAAAUAAAACGCCUGUGAUCCUGAUAAUUCUCUGGCACCCUAUUCCAAAAGCUGGAGGUCUUUAAUCUCUCUGAAUAGCCAAAUAUUUCACAGUUGAUGCUUCUUUUGCAUUCUUUAUAAUUAAACAAGGAGCCAAAUUUUUAAUACCUUUCCUGUCUUUCUCUCCCUGGUGUUGCUAAUGUAACACAUUCAGGUCAAAUCUCUGUUGGUUUUGGUCACUGGCUGUUUCAAGGCCUAAAAGGAAAGAGUGAGAUCUUUCAAAGAAUGGAGAUUAAAAUCAAACACAACGAAGGAGCUACUUUUGAAUGUAAUAAUGUGGAACACUUUAAAGUCGAAUUAAUUAAAGGAAACAUAAACCAAUGCAUUCCUGGCUCCAUGUUAACUGCGGCUGUCUAAAAGACCUUGAGAUGUUCAAGAGACCAGUGUAAAUAAGUUAUUUUGGUUAGCACAAGCUCAGGGGCCUGCCACUUUCCUCUCGCUGGUGCUGUCUUUGGUAGAGCCAUAGAUAGAACCAGCCACAAACUUGAUUCGGGCAUAAGCAGGAGACACACACAUCAGCAUAAAGGGGGCUCCAAAAAAGGCCCUCUUGCUUGGAGACACAGGAACCAGACUCCCCAAAUGUCUCUCACUUACACAGCAAUCCUCCUCAGACUUAGGAGGCUCUGUCAAACAUUUUCAAAAUUACAGGGAACCUGGAAAGAAAAUACAAUAAAGAGAUCAGAGACCUAAAGUGCCAGACCAAAGAGAAGAACCAGAAAAAGCAAGACGUGUUCAUUGUAAAUAUUUUGAAACUGUAUUCUUAUCUCAGUUCAGUGCUGUGUACUGCCUUUUCUCUGGUAAUUGUAAAUAUUUAAUGUGUUAUAGCUCCAUCUCCUUACUGAUACGGGAAACAUGAAUAAAUCCACAUGGACAGGAUGUGUGUUUUCCACUUGCAGACUGUCUGAGAGAGUGAGCAUCAGGAGGGGCUGCUGUGGACAGUUGCACAGGCUGUGGCCUGUACCAGAGUGCCUGGUGGAGGGGCCUGGAAAAGACACCCCAGCCACCUGGCUCAGAGAGGGACAGAAGAAGGAGUCACUGUUCAUUCUGAGCAAAAAGCCCUUUUGUAUAUUUAGUUAGGCUAGGGGCUAUGUGUGUGUGCUUUUUAGAGAUUUACAUUUUACUAGUGUGAGGGGAACUGAGCAGAGCUCAUGGAAAAACUGUUCCUGUUUAUUGAAAUAAAAAUUCCAGAAUUUUU